AUGGACCAGGCGCUCGUGGACCUCGGCGUGCUCUCCGACCCCGGCUCGGGCCUCUACGACGCCGACUCGGGCUCGACGUCUUCGAUGGUUACUUGGAGUAGGCUCGGCUGCCUUCCCCCACGCCGCUCUCCCCACGACCCGCAACCGUCGGCCCGGACCGGGGCCCAGGUCAUGCAGCUGCUGUUGAUUGAGGGCACCACCUGGCCAGGGAUGGGACCCCCGGGACGAGGCCCACUCCGGCCUCCGAGGCCUGCCUGCUCCCCUCGAAAGCUCCGUGCCAACAGAGAGGUUCCUGUCCGGGCCCAGGAUGGUGGGACAGAGAGAUUGAGAAUGGACGCCAAGGUCCGGAAGGCACGUGCCCCUGCCCAGAGGGUGAGGCAGGGGUGCCCGGAGACCUCGCCUGCCUGCGGCGUCGUGCACACAGCCUCACCCUGGCUUCCGACCUUCCGCCAUCUCAGUGGAUGUUUACAUGAACCCAGCCAGAGUCAGCCUCCUUGCUUUCCACCCCCGGCUGCAUCUGCUUACCCCACUUAACCUUCGGAGAGAGAGGACACGUCAUACACAAAAGCGACUCNNNNNNNNNNNNNNNNNNNNNNNNNNNNNNNNNNNNNNNNNNNNNNNNNNNNNNNNNNNNNNNNNNNNNNNNNNNNNNNNNNNNNNNNNNNNNNNNNNNNGUCCACAAAUCCCACAUGUGCAGGGACACCGUGAGGGGUGAUGCCCCGGUACAAGGCUGGAUGCCCUUAGCCCCCAGGGCAUGUGGGGCCUUCCUUCCUUAGAGGGCUUCCCCUAAGGCGGAAGGCACCACCUUUCUGUGAGGACAUCCAGCUAGACAGCUGGAUCAGAAUCCCUCUGACCCUCUUGACCCUCAACCCCUACUCGCUGGGAAGAGGGGGAGAGUCUGGGAGCCAGGCAACCAGACUGGGGCACAGGCAGCUCCCACAGCCGCCAGGAAAUAGCCAAGCUGUCCCAAAUCAGGGCUUCUGACUGAGCAAGCCAUGCUCCAGUGAACAACACCAGCCAACCUGGCAGUUCUCUAUGCAGACAGCAAAGCUGCCAGGUCCCUUCCAGGCUCGCCACAGCCAGGGCCCGACGCCAGCUCAACUAAGCAGCGGCUCCCAGGAUAGAGUGGCGGGGCAGAGACAGAGGAAAAUGCAAGGUAAAGCUCACAGUGCUUCACCCUUGUUGACUGCCGAGUCGUGAAUUUUCCAAUGAAGGGUAGGAAGCCGUAGGGAAAAUCCUUUCCCCAAAGACAGGACUGGAGCCAAAGUGGACUCUGCUGUGUGUGUUGGGCUGGGUGGGUGGGUGGGGGUGGAAGGCUGGAGGGUCUGGGGAGGGGAGGAGAGCAAGGGUCCCGGUCAACUGGCUGUAGAAUAUGGCAGAAGUGAUGCUGUGUGACAGCCAAGGCUGGCUUAUAAAAAGGACACGAUUUCUCCCCGUGGUCUCGGUCUCCCCCUCCUAACUUCUCUUCCUCACCCUUCAACCCAGCCACCAGGCCGUGAGGAAGCCCCCACAUGGAGAGCCCCCGCCCCACUUAGAGGCAAUGAGGCCCCCAGUCAGCAGUCAGCAUCAGGUGCCAGGCAUACGAGAGACAGAGCCUUCAGACGACCCCAGCUGACCCGGAGCAGGGCAGAGAGAUGAGCAGUCCCCGCCAAGCCCUGCCCAAAAGACAGAUGUUUAAGAGCAGAAUAAACAUCGGUGCUGUUUUUAGCCACUGCGUUUUGGGGGUGGCUUGUGAUGCGUUAGUUAGCCAGAAGAGUGUGCACCCCAAACUUAGUAAUCACAAUGUAAACACAGGACCCGCCCGUGGGAUUAAACGACAGAUUUAUAUGUAGUGGAAAAAACAAACAGGAAAUGGAGGCAAAAAGGCGAAUGUGGUCCAGGCCACGGCCCCGCCCCCCCUCCGUUAGUGUAUCAUCAGCUCUUUCCCCGAGAAGGUCCAGUGCGUAUGGCCAGGCCUAGCUUUGGCCUCGGUGAAAAGAGUCAGUGCAAACCAGUGAGUCCCAGAGACAGAAGGCAGCUGCUGAGAAUUUCCAGUGGUCAUGCU
rnacentral:lncRNA from 1 species